rnacentral:rRNA from 1 species
UACACAAUGAAUAUCAAAGUUAAAAGUGAUUCAGAACUCCACUGUUAAUUUGAAUUCUAUUGGACUUUUUUGAGGAUAAGCUCGAAAAUUGUUGUUGAGAACUAUAUAAUUUAAAAUUAUUGCGUAGGCCUAAAAUUAGCCAUCACAAGAGUUUGUUAUAAAACAAUAAAAACAUAUAAAAAUAUUAUUAUAUAUGACACCACUAUAAAACUAUAAGAAUAAUAAUCUAAACUAAAAGAUUAGUGUACCUAUGCUAGGAUGAGUAUUAUUAACCAUUUAGAACUGAAAAAUAAAGUGUUAUCCUAGAAAAACAUUUUUUAUAUAAAUUAAAGAGAAGGAAUUCGGCAAAUGUUGUUUCGCCUGUUUAUCAAAAACAUGGCUCUUUGAGAAAAACAUAUAAAGAGUCGAACCUGCCCAGUGAAUAAUUUUUAACGGCCGCGGUACCCUGACCGUGCAAAGGUAGCAUAAUCAUUUGCCUUAUAAUUGAAGGCUGGCAUGAAUGGUCUGACGAGAGCAACACUGUCUCCUCUUUAUUAUUUAAAAAUUAACUUAUAGGUGAAGAGGCCUAUAUCGAAUUGAAGGACAAGAAGACCCUGUCGAGCUUAAAAGAAGAGUAGAAGUUAGGUAUCAAAAAGAAAUCAAUAAACUAUAUACAGCUUUUUAGUUGGGGCGACUAAGGAACAAAUAAAGCUUCUUUUAUUUCUCUAAAUUUACAGAUCUGGAUCCAGUAAAGCUGAUCAAAGAAAUUAGUUACCGCAGGGAUAACAGCAUAAUCUCCUUUGAGAGACCUAAUCGAAAAGGGGGGUUGUGACCUCGAUGUUGGACUAGAAUGUCCUGAAGAUGCAGACGUCU